rnacentral:rRNA from 1 species
CCUACGGGGGGCAGCAGUGGGGAAUAUUGGACAAUGGGGGGAACCCUGAUCCAGCGACGCCGCGUGAGUGAAGAAGUAUUUCGGUAUGUAAAGCUCUAUCAGCAGGGAAGAAAGAAAUGACGGUACCUGACUAAGAAGCCCCGGCUAACUACGUGCCAGCAGCCGCGGUAAUACGUAGGGGGCAAGCGUUAUCCGGAUUUACUGGGUGUAAAGGGAGCGUAGACGGCGAUGCAAGUCUGAAGUGAAAGGCGGGGGCCCAACCCCCGGACUGCUUUGGAAACUGUAUGGCUGGAGUGCAGGAGAGGUAAGUGGAAUUCCUAGUGUAGCGGUGAAAUGCGUAGAUAUUAGGAGGAACACCAGUGGCGAAGGCGGCUUACUGAACUGUAACUGACGUUGAGGCUCGAAAGCGUGGGGAGCAAACAGGAUUAGAUACCCUAGUAGUC